GUCUAAGUACUAGCCAACUUUUAAAAUGGUGAAACCGCGAAAAGCUCAUUAAAUCGGCUUUGGUUCCUUAGAUAGUUUGCAGACUGGAGUUUCUUUCGAACUAUCGAAAGAAACAAAAUUCUGAAAUGGAUAACUGUGGUAAUUCUAGAGCUAAUACAUGAAAAAAUUUCGGUGCGAAAACGCGUUUGCUUCGAGCGAACGUUGAAUUUGCACGCUUUUAUUAGAGAAAAAAGCCAAUUUUAUUAUUGUUUGCGUGUGCACUCUUGCGAAACGGUUGCGUCUGUGAUCUGUUUCUGCUGGAGCGGCUACGUAAAAUCAAUACUAAUGAAAAAAUUAGGUGUUGAAUCUGAAUAACUUGAAUGGAUUCUCUUUGAAAGAGUUUUAUUUCGUUUCGGAAUAGAAUUUGAUUAGAAGAGGGUUUAAAGCAGACCGCAUUAAAGGCUGCAAGCAAAGUAAUGAGAGCGUUUACGUUCGAUUUAAUGCUUGCAGUUUGUGUGGCGUAUCUUUCAAUUGUCUGCCUUAUCAACUGUCGAUGGUAGGUUACAUGCCUACCAUGGUUAUAACGGGUAACGGGGAAUCAGGGUUCGAUUCCGGAGAGGGAGCCUUAGAAACGGCUACCACAUCUAAGGAAGGCAGCAGGCACGCAAAUUACCCACUCCCGGUACGGGGAGGUAGUGACGAAAAAUAACGAUCCGGAACUCGAAUGAGUUUCCGAAAUCGGAAUGAGUACAAUUUAAAUACUUUAACGAGGANCAAAUGGAGGGCAAGUCUGGUGCCAGCAGCCGCGGUAAUUCCAGCUCCAUUAGCAUAUAUUAAAGUUGUUGCGUUUAAAAAGCUCGUAGUCGAACCUGUAUCUCGUACUAUUAAAAACCCGCGAUUUUAUGCGCGUGGUUUUUAAUAUCAUAGUGUACGAGAUAUAUGCUGGUGGAUGCUCAGAAAUUGUAUGCUAUAGAUGUGCAUUUGCUCGUUUCUAUACUUAUGAUUUCGAUAUUCGAUACGAUGAGUUUAUUUUCUUUCGCUUCUGGUGAAUUAUUAGAUUCAAUCGUAUUCCGGCUGCGUUGGAAAUGUUGCGGUCAGAAAUGCAGAUUCUGUAUUAACGCGCACUUUUUCAGCCUGUCGGACCAGCGAAAUUACUUUGAACAAAUUAGAGUGCUUAAAGCAGGCAAAUUUUAUGCCUUGAAUAUACACAGCAUGGAAUAAUAGAAUAUGAUCUCGAUACUGUUUGUUUGAUGCUUUCUUGUUUUUCGGAGCAAAAAAGUAUUAUUCAUCUGAUAGUAUGCAUUGGUUUUAAUUGACUAGUGUUGUAUGGUCGAUGGAAAGAAAUUGGCUUAAAGUGACAUUAUCAGCUGAUCGGCUAAAGCAGUAGGUGAAAAAUUGAUUGAAAAUGUUUUCUAGCGUUUCCAUAAAAAUCGGUUUUUUAUCCUACUGUGACGGUUUGCAUUUUGUCACGACAGUUU
rnacentral:rRNA from 1 species